AGUUUUGGUCAAUACCCUUGUUGUAGAAACAUAGAGGAGAUGUCUUGCCAACAAAUGGUCGUUUUGCUGCUCCUGGUUUGUUUGUCACUUCAUGCCUCAGUGGUGUUUGUCGAAAGGUUUGCCUCCCAACAGAGUUGUUCUUCGGACCUCUGGGCUGUGGAAAAGGAUUCUUGUGCUGUGUAUCCCAUUUCCUAUAAAAACAGAAUAAUUUCAGAAAAUAAUAUUAUGUGAUCACUGUGGAGCAGAUCAUGUGAUCACUGUUGUUUUUUUUAGAUAUUACUUCACCAUGAAGUGUAUGGGGCCUACUUUGGAUUUCCUAACUGUCAAUCUAAUCUAACUAUCUGCAUAUGUAUUUUUAUGCUUGCUAAUUAUUACAUAAUGAACCAAGUCUUUAAUAAGUACAUUUGAAAUGAAAUCCAAUUGUAGUAGCUUCUUUUAUUUAAAAAUGUUAGUGAAUAUCCUAAUUAAUAUAGCAAAAGCAUUCUAUUGCAUCGGAUUUGUAUUUUCAUGACAAAAAUGUACUGUGUGCACAACUACUCUCUUGGAGCGACCAUGUUUUUGGUUCUGAUUGUCAUUCUUUAUGGUUUACUUGUAUGAGCUGAUUUAUCAUUGGUUGGUUCAGUACUAUCUUUACCUCUAAAUGCAGUAUGUUUAUUCAAACCAACAAGGGGACAUUGGUAACAAUAUAUAAGAAUGCAUGUGCACUUGAAAUACAGUGCAGAUCAGUACUUUUUGACUAAGUAACAACAUAAACCUCAUCACACCAAA